rnacentral:tRNA from 1 species
AGUCAGUAUUAGUAUAGUGGUUUGAACAUUGGACUAUGACUCUGGAGACCAGGGUUCAAAUCCCUGCUUGGCUA